rnacentral:rRNA from 1 species
GACAGAGGGUGCAAACGUUGUUCGGAAUUACUGGGCGUAAAGCGCGUGUAGGCGGCUAUGUAAGUCGGGCGUGAAAUCCCACGGCUCAACCGUGGAAGUGCACCCGAAACUGCGUAGCUAGAGUCCUGGAGAGGAAGGUGGAAUGCUUGGUGUAGAGGUGAAAUUCGUAGAUAUCAAGCGGAACACCGGUGGCGAAGGCGGCCUUCUGGACAGUCGACUGACG